GACAGAGGGGGCAAGCGUUGCUCGGAAUCACUGGGCGUAAAGGGCGCGUAGGCGGGAUGGCAAGUCAGUCGUGAAAUCUCUCGGCUCAACCGAGAAACGUCGGCUGAUACUGCCGUUCUUGAGGGAUGCAGAGGAGACUGGAAUUCCCGGUGUAGCGGUGAAAUGUGUAGAGAUCGGGAGGAACACCGGUGGCGAAGGCGGGUCUCUGGGCAUUUCCUGACGCUGGGGCGCGAAAGCGUGGGGAGCAAACGGG
rnacentral:rRNA from 1 species